CAUACAAAACCCUAAAAGGCCAAAACCCUAAGUCCUAACAUCUUCCUAUAUAACACACCUCCAUCUUUAGUCUCUUCUAUCUCCUGCUGGUUGCAAAAAUCGAUCUUGGUCUUUCGUGUUCAUGCUUGUCUUUGUGGUGCUCUUUUCUCUGUUGCAGUUGGUUGAAUGUUCUCGGACGGACAUCCGUUGAUUAUUUUUUGAGAUGCUCACGUCCCUCUCUGUUGGGUUGCUCUGGUCUCCAUAGUUUUUCACUUAACUUGUCAAGGUGGUUGAGAGAUGGAUAGUGCUCUGCAUUAUCUCUCUUCUCCAUUGCUGCUGCUCUUGGCUUUGCAUUUGGCUUCCUCAUUUCUCCUAGAGAUCGUUUUCAGCUGGCAUGAUCGGUGGACUGAGACUGUAUCGGAGUUGGUUAUUUAAGGGCCGUUGGCUUUCUUUUCUUAUGCUGGCUUUGGGUUUUGGGCAAUUUUUUAUUGGGCCUUCAACCUUGUAUAUUGGCUUUGACUCACUGGGCUUGAUCUAAGAAGCAUUUCUAUUUUGGGAAAAAUGAAAAUCUCAAAAUGUUAUUUUAC